AACGAACGCUGGCGGCAGGCCUAAUACAUGCAAGUCGAACGCCGUAGCAAUACGGAGUGGCAGACGGGUGAGUAACGCGUGGGAACCUUCCUAAUGGUACGGAAUAGCCCGGGGAAACCCGGAGUAAUACCGUAUAAGCCCGUAGGGAAAGGAUUAUCGCCAUUAGAUGGGCCCGCGUCGGAUUAGCUAGUUGGUAGGGUAACGGCCUACCAAGGCUACGAUCCGUAGCUGGUCUGAGAGGAUGAUCAGCCACACUGGGACUGAGACACGGCCCACGACUCCUACGGGAGGCAGCAGUAGGGAAUAUUGGACAAUGGGCGAAAGCCUGAUCCAGCCAUGCCGCGUGAGUGAUGAAGGCC
rnacentral:rRNA from 1 species